CUGGGCGUACAGCGUGCGCAGGCGGAUUGUUAAGCAAGAUGUGAAAUCCCCGGGCUUAACCUGGGAAUGGCAUUUUGAACUGGCAGUCUAGAGUGCGUCAGAGGGGGGUGGAAUUCCACGUGUAGCAGUGAAAUGCGUAGAGAUGUGGAGGAACACCAAUGGCGAAGGCAGCCCCCUGGGAUGACACUGACGCUCAUGUACGAAAGCGUGGGUAGCAAACAGGAUUAGAUACCCUGGUAGUCCACGCCCUAAACGAUGUCAACUGGUUGUUGGGGGAGUGAAAUCCCUUAGUAACGAAGCUAACGCGUGAAGUUGACCGCCUGGGGAGUACGGUCGCAAGAUUAAAACUCAAAGGAAUUGACGGGGACCCGCACAAGCGGUGGAUGAUGUGGAUUAAUUCGAUGCAACGCGAAAAACCUUACCUACCCUUGACACGUCCGGAAUCCUGCAGAGAUGCGGGAGUGCUCGAAAGAGAACCGGAACACAGGUGCUGCAUGGCUGUCGUCAGCUCGUGUCGUGAGAUGUUGGGUUAAGUCCCGCAACGAGCGCAACCCUUAUCAUUAGUUGCUACGCAAGGGCACUCUAAUGAGACUGCCGGUGACAAACCGGAGGAAGGUGGGGAUGACGUCAAGUCCUCAUGGCCCUUAUGGGUAGGGCUUCACACGUCAUACAAUGGUCGGUACAGAGGGUUGCCAAGCCGCGAGGUGGAGCCAAUCCCAGAAAGCCGAUCGUAGUCCGGAUUGUUCUCUGCAACUCGAGAGCAUG
rnacentral:rRNA from 1 species